rnacentral:lncRNA from 1 species
CUUCCUUACCCUGAGUCCCAUCUUGCAGAGUCAGCAACUGGUGCAAGUUACAAGAUGCUUAGGAAGGCAACAUGGCAUAGCAGAAAUAACACUUGAGUUGUGCUCAUAUCCGCCUUGCGUGGCAGUCUAAAGCAGCCUGACAUAAAUCAGACAGGGUUGCAUCACACAUACAGAUAACAGUGCAGUGGAAUAGGUGAGAAACCUUUAUUUGUGAUCAAACUAAAAUUACUAGAAUCCCUGGGCCAUUCUUCUCAGUUCU